GAAGUGAAAUGUCAUCUUAGAAACACUGGAGGAGGGGGGCGUGCAGGGCCGGAGCUCCAAGCUUACGCCACAUCAGUCUGGCAGCCCUGCUCGCUCUCCAGCCCAGGCGUCCGUUGAGCCAGAGCGAGGCUGGAGCGAAGGGCUGUCGUCGGGCCGGACCGGCCAGCAUGAGCCUCGCCGGACCUGCCCGCCGCCUCCUAGAAGUGACCUCUUGCGUCUCAAAGCCCUGCGGCGCCACCUGCUUCCCCCGGCUGGUGACAGCCGGAGAAGAGAGGACCUGCCCAGGUCUCUCCUUUCCUGGCUGAAGUCCCCGUCCUGCUCCCGGCGGCUGCCACCACCCGCACCUGCAGUCCGUGUCCACCCGCAGCCCGCAGUGAAGACGUUAGAGGAACAGCAGCCAGAGACUCGACACCACUCAGCGAUGAAAAGUAUGGGCUCUGGAAAGUCAGAUGAACCUUAAUUUGAAUCUCAGCUCAACCACUUCCUAGAUGUGUGAUCCGGGUGCAGACUUUAUUCAAGCAAUUUCAGCUUUAAUUUCCUCGUGUGUCAAACAGGAGUACCAGUAACGUGGAUGUCAGGAGGUUGGCGGGCAGGGUCUAUGAAUGUAAGCUCCUGAAGCACAGAGAUUUUGUUCACUGUUAUAUCCCCAGUGCCCAGAAGAGUGUCUGCACAUAGUAGGUGCUUAAUCAAUAUUUGAAUGACUAAGUGCCUAUGAAGCAUUAGGAGCAGGGUCUGGCCACGAGGACUCAAUAUUGUGGCUUAUGACAAUGCACUUUACACACAAAGGUAUGGCGGCACAAAAGCAAUUGCCCUUGGGGCUUAGAGCCCCUGCGGAGCUGCUCUUUGUCACUACCUGAAUUCCCGCCCCCUCCCCAGCUGCCGGGGGUGGGGGAAGUGAAAGCAAAUUCUUAGCAGCCUCCAAGAACCAUAUAUCCUGAAAGAAAUCUGUGAAAGCCCACACUUCUGCUUCUAAUUCUAUCCCUACUUACAAUUCUUUCCGGGGCUCCUCCUUGGUUGCUUCAUCUCAAUAAAAAUGGUUCCAAAAGAAAGUCCACAUCCUGGGUGUGAGCCAGUUUUAGUUAAAAGACUCAGAAGACUUUAUCCGCCAAGGAAAAAAGUCUGAAAAAUCCAGAAGUUCAUGGUAGGCAGAGGUUCUCACUGAAAAACAGCAAUAACAAACAAAAAUAAAGGAAAUUAAAAACCCAAACACA
rnacentral:lncRNA from 1 species